rnacentral:rRNA from 1 species
GACGAACGCUGGCGGCGUGCCUAAUACAUGCAAGUUGAGCGCUGAAGGUUGGUACUUGUACCGACUGGAUGAGCAGCGAACGGGUGAGUAACGCGUGGGGAAUCUGCCUUUGAGCGGGGGACAACAUUUGGAAACGAAUGCUAAUACCGCAUAAAAACUUUAAACACAAGUUUUAAGUUUGAAAGAUGCAAUUGCAUCACUCAAAGAUGAUCCCGCGUUGUAUUAGCUAGUUGGUGAGGUAAAGGCUCACCAAGGCGAUGAUACAUAGCCGACCUGAGAGGGUGAUCGGCCACAUUGGGACUGAGACACGGCCCAAACUCCUACGGGAGGCAGCAGUAGGGAAUCUUCGGCAAUGGACGAAAGGCUGACCGAGCAACGCCGCGUGAGUGAAGAAGGGUUUCGGAUCGUAAAACUCUGUUGGUAGAGAAGAACGUUGGUGAGAGUGGAAAGCUCAUCAAGUGACGGUAACUACCCAGAAAGGGACGGCUAACUACGUG